rnacentral:rRNA from 1 species
GACGAACGCUGGCGGCGUGCUUAACACAUGCCAGUCGAACGGAAAGGCCUGCUUUCCCUUGUGGAUUGCGGGUACUCGAGUGGCGAACGGGUGAGUAACAUGUGAGUGAUCUGCCCCCAACUUGGGUAUAAGCCUGGGAAACUGGGUCUAAUUCCCGAUAGGACUGCAGGGUGGUGCCUGUGGUGGAAAACGAUUUUCUAGUGGUUGGGGAUGAGCUCGCGGCCUAUCAGCUUGUUGGUGGGGUAAUGGCCUACCAAGGCGGCGACGGGUAGCCGGCCUGAGAGGGUGGACGGCCACAUUGGGACUGAGAUACGGCCCAGACUCCUACGGGAGGCAGCAGUGGGGAAUAUUGCACAAUGGGCGGAAGCCUGAUGCAGCGACGCCGCGUGGGGGAUGACGGCCUUCGGGUUGUAAACUCCUUUCGACCGCGAGGAAGCCACCUGGUUGGAAGGGUGGUGACGGUAGUGGUAGAAGAAGCACCGGCUAACUACGUG